rnacentral:rRNA from 1 species
CAAUAAGCGGAGGAAAAGAAACCAACAGGGAUUGCCCUAGUAACGGCGAGCGAAGCGGCAACAGCUCAAAUUUGAAAUCUGGUCUUCUGGGCCCGAGUUGUAAUUUGCAGAGGAUGCUUCUGGCAAGGUGCCUUCCGAGUUCCCUGGAACGGGACGCCAUAGAGGGUGAGAGCCCCGUACGGUUGGACACCGAGCCGUUGUGUAGCUCCUUCAACGAGUCGAGUAGUUUGGGAAUGCUGCUCUAAAUGGGAGGUAUAUCUCUUCUAAAGCUAAAUACCGGCCAGAGACCGAUAGCGCACAAGUAGAGUGAUCGAAAGAUGAAAAGCACUUUGAAAAGAGAGUUAAACAGCACGUGAAAUUGUUGAAAGGGAAGCGCUUGUGACCAGACUUGUGCCCGGUGAAUUAGCUGGUGUUCUCACCAGUCGACUUUGCCGGCUCAGGCCAGCAUCGGUUUGUUAUUGGGGAGAAAAACGAUGGGAAUGUGGCUCCUUCGGGAGUGUUAUANCCCGCCGUAUAAUACCCUUUGGCAGACCGAGGACCGCGCAUCUGCAUGGAUGCUGGCGUAAUGG